UGGGAAUAUUGGACAAUGGGCGCAAGCCUGAUCCAGCAACGCCGCGUGGAGGAUGAAGGUCUUCGGAUCGUAAACUCCUGUCAGACGGGACGAAGGUUUGCGGGUGAAUAGCCCGUAGGCUUGACGGUACUGUCAGAGGAAGCCCCGGCUAACUCCGUGCCAGCAGCCGCGGUAAUACGGAGGGGGCGAGCGUUAUUCGGAAUUAUUGGGCGUAAAGGGCGCGUAGGCGGCUCGAUAAGUCAAAGGUGAAAUCCCUCGGCUCAACUGAGGAACUGCCUUUGAAACUGUCGAGCUCGAGUCCGGGAGGGGGUAGCGGAAUUCCCAGUGUAGCGGUGAAAUGCGUAGAUAUUGGGAGGAACACCAGUGGCGAAGGCGGCUACCUGGACCGGAACUGACGCUGAUGCGCGAAAGCGUGGGUAGCAAACAGGAUUAGAUACCCUGGUAGUCCACGCUGUAACGAUGGGUGCUCGGUGUCGCGGGUAUCGACCCCUGCGUGCCUUAGCUAACG
rnacentral:rRNA from 1 species